rnacentral:rRNA from 1 species
UACGAAGGGGGCUAGCGUUGUUCGGAAUCACUGGGCGUAAAGCGCACGUAGGCGGAUCUUUAAGUCAGGGGUGAAAUCCCAAGGCUCAACCUUGGAACUGCCUUUGAUACUGGGGAUCUUGAGUCCGGGAGAGGUGGGUGGAACUGCGAGUGUAGAGGUGAAAUUCGUAGAUAUUGGGAAGAACACCGGUGGCGAAGGCGGCUCACUGGCUCGUAACUGACGCUCAUGCACGACAGCGUGGGGAUCAAACAGG